rnacentral:tRNA from 1 species
AAUAAAGUAAGCUAAUGAUAAAGCUAUUGGGUUCAUACCCCGAAAAUAGAUAUUAAUUCUCUUUAUUG